GGAUAACUACGGAAAAGCUGUAGCUAAUACUUGCUUUAGCACUCUUGAUUUAUUUCUUGAGUGUGUACUUGUUAAGCCUUAUAAGAAAAGAGUUAUUAACUUAAGGAAUUAUAACAAAGAAGUGACACGUAAUGGAUCAGUCCAUUUUUAGUGUGUAUCAAUCGAGUUUCUGACCUAUCAGCUUUUGAUGUUAGGGUAUUGGCCUAACAUGGCUAUGACGGGUAACGGGGAAUUAGAGUUCGAUUCCGGAGAGGGAGCCUGAGAAAUAGCUACCACAUCUAAGGAAGGCAGCAGGCGCGUAAAUUACCCAAUUCUAAAGAAGAGAGGUAGUGACAAGAAAUAACAAUACAAGGCCAAUCUGGCUUUGUAAUUGGAAUGAUGGGAAUUUAAAACCUUCCCAAAAUUCAAUUGGAGGGCAAGUCUGGUGCCAGCAGCCGCGGUAAUUCCAGCUCCAAUAGCGUAUAUUAAAAUUGUUGCAGUUAAAACGCUCGUAGUUGAAUUUCAAAGAAUCGAUAUUUUAAGUAACGCUUCUAGCUAUAAAUCCACAUAACUGAUGCCUCCGCGUAUCGACUUUGUGCGCAUUUUAGCUAUUAUGUGUUCUUUUAAUUAAAAUGAUUCUUUUUAAGAUUCAUCUAUUAAAAAUUUGCUUCGGCAUAAUUUUUUUUGAUGAUCUUGUUACUUUGAGUAAAUUAGAGUGUUCAAAGCAAACAGAUAUAGCAUUUGUGCGUUUGAAUACUACAGCAUGGAAUAACAAAAUUGAACAAGUCAGAAUUUUUUUGUUCUUUUUUCUUAUUUUGGCUUAGUUACGAUUAAUAGGAGUAGCUUGGGGGCAUUUGUAUUCAGAUGUCAGAGGUGAAAUUCUUAGAUUUUCUGGAGACAAACAACUGCGAAAGCAUUUGCCUAAAAUACUUCCAUUAAUCAAGAACGAAAGUUAAGGGAGUGAAGACGAUCAGAUACCGUCGUAAUCUUAACCAUAAACUAUGCCGACUAGGCUUUGGAUGAAAGAUUUUAAAAUAAGAGUUUUUCUUUUCUCUCCGGAGAUUAGAACUC
rnacentral:rRNA from 1 species